AGUGGAAAACGAGGAAGCCAAUUCUUCAGAGAAAAAGAAGAAGAAGAAAAAGAGGAAGAAGAAAAAGAUUGACAAUGAAACUGCAGACAACAAUGUCGAAGAAGCUGGAGACAAUGGAAAUUUAAACUAAUGGGAAGGGCAAAAGUUGGUAGAAAGUCAGCAGUCAGUGUUUGCUCAAUUGGUCAUUUGUAGAUACCAGCAAGAAGGAUAGAACUCUCCAUCUCUGAAGGCUGCCCAGUGAUAUUUGAUUUUGUCUCCAGUUAAUGAUAUAUUAUUGAAUAACUUUGAUGUGAUUUUUUGUAUUUUAAGAGUUGAAUAAGUGCCAUAUGUAAUGUUGUUUGUUUGAUCUGUUUAUUUAUUAUUAUCUGAAUGAUUGGUGCAGAAAAAACCAUUUUCCAUCUGACUUUUUAUAUCUAAUUAGAAGUAAUGUUUGUGUUUAAGCUGUUACAGUUGCUGUAGUUCUUGAUUAUUUUUUCUGUAUUUGUUUUAUCUAGUUUUAAUGAUUUAGCAUGUCCACUAUUUACACGCCUGAUGCCUUUUAAAAUGUUAAACCUCCAAUAUUGUAUUAAUGUUUAGAUUUUUAUAUUGUAGUUUUAUUAUCAAGAAGGUUUGACGUUGCUUUUUAAUCAUUUGGCAUAUCUACGCAAAAUUGUUCUGAACUUGUGUCAUUGUGUUUACGAGUUUUAAUCUUAAUUUGAAAACGACGAUAACUUUUAGCAUCAAGCCUUCUUAAUGUAUAGUAUUUUGUAAAUCUUAAUCCUGAUUGUCCGUCCUUUGUAAUAAAAUCCGGUGUC
rnacentral:misc_RNA from 1 species